rnacentral:rRNA from 1 species
UACGGAGGAUGCAAGCGUUAUCCGGAUUCAUUGAGUUUAAAGGGUGCGUAGGCGGACUAUUAAGUCAGUGGUGAAAGCCUGCAGCUUAACUGCAGAACUGCCAUUGAUACUGAUAGUCUUGAGUUUGGUUAAGGUAGGCGGAAUGUGUAAUGUAGCGGUGAAAUGCUUAGAUAUUACACAGAACACCAAUUGCGUAGGCAGCUUACUGAGCCGACACUGACGCUGAGGCACGAAAGCGUGGGGAUCGAA